rnacentral:lncRNA from 1 species
GGUAUGAGCUUGUUAGCAUUGUCAUUGACAAUUCACGGAUACUAAAUCCUACUUAUCAUCUGACAUUGAGUCAGACUGAAACAUAUACUUUGUGUUGAUUUAAUAAUAGUUAUAGUAAAACAAUUCUUUCCAAACUCAAAUCUGGCCACAAAUACAUUCAAUAUUCAACAAAAAUUAUAAAAUGUAAUUUUUUCCCUACCAAUAGUACUAAGAUUUUAGUACCCCCCUAGAAGUUCUGUUGUUUUUUUCGUACCCCCCUCAGAGGUUCUGGGUUUUUUCUUCCCCUCCCCCCCCCCCAUAAAUAUCCUCCACACCCCAUAGUAAAUACUUUAAGACCGGUACCUUGAUAGUUCAACUGCAAAUUUAUCCCCACGCAGAGCGCGUCAUUUAGAUGUGCAGUCGAGACUCUGAAUUGGCUCAUUAACAUGCGCAUUAACAUACGUUGACUUAUUAAAAUUGCAAGAACUGAGUUACCACAUUUCAGAGUGCAGGGAUUGUCAUUUCCUAUUACAGAAAAUUGCUCUAAGUAUGUGCAAAGCUACAGUAUACGCCCAUUCUUAAAAUUUGCCCAAAACGUCCAAAAACCGACCAACCUACGCAAGCAGACAUUGGCAAGAAUUUAAAGAUCGCGCAAGACUGGGCAUGGGAAAACCCGAGAACUCUAGAGAAACGCAAACAGCAUAUUCAACAAACAAAACUUGAACUUCUCCAUGAAACAAAUUUUAGGUCCGCAUCCACGCAAGACUCGAUUUAACCGUCGUACAUUUUCCGACCAGAAAGUGGUCUCACUCGAUUCAAUGAUAGUUGAAGGGUCUUGUACAGUAGAUAUGGAAAUUAUCGAGUGGAAAUUUAUAUACUGUACAUUUAUUAGACCUAACCAGGAACAGCUGCUAGAAAUGCAACUAUACUGUAGGUCCUUGGAUUUUCCACUCGAUAAUUUCCAUCUGCAAGACCCUUCAACUAUUAUUGAAUCGAGUGAGAUGCCAACAAAAUCUCGAUAUUUACCUAUAAGGCCAAAAAAAUAUAUGUGGGUUUCCGGUUUCCCGACCCUACCUAGCUAUUGGACGUCGAAAUCCCGACCCUAAACUUUUUUAUUGGAUCAUGCUUGUAAGUGUUUCCACUUAAAGGAAAAAGUUUGUGGAAGAUUGAAAUUUGAGGCAAUAUUAGGGAAAUUUAUCUUUGGAUGUGGAAGCACUGACUAAACAAAAUGGCGUCCGCUUGUUCGGAAAAUUAAAAAAAAAAGUUAAAAAAAAAGUUAAAACCGACCUACCCUACCUAAGUUUUUAUAAGAAGAAACCGGAAACCCACAUAUUUUUUUGGGCCUAACCUAAAACAUGGCAGUACCCUAUAUAUAUAUGCAUGGACUUGUGGCUAGAGCUCGACGACUGGCCUCUGUAGCUCAGUUGGUUAGAGCGCUGCCCCGGAAUCGCAGGACCGUGGGUUCGAUUCCUGCCAGGGACCUAUAGUUGCAUUUUUCACAACUCUUCCUGGUUAGGUCUAAUAAAUGCAUAUAAAUUUCCACUUGAUUUAUGUUUGUCGUUUUGCAUCCGGCCAAGAUGUUACAGAUGAGAGAAAAAAGUUGUCGGACUUUGAAAAAAUAUAUAUAUCGAACCUCGAUAUCUGUGGAGUUAGUAUUACAGAAUUGGAUAGUGUAGAUAGGGUUGGGUAUUUGCAAAGUAUUUUUAUAAGAAAAAUCUGUAACUUAUUUUGUUUUAGAUAAACCAAAAGGCGGUGGUGGUGGUUCCUCUGGGGGUGGUUCUUCUGCUGGUGGAUUAGGCGGAAUAUUUGCUGGUGGUAUGCCAAAGUUGCGACCUUCUGGGACACGUGGAGGUGGGUAAACACACUUUAAGCUGUGGUAGAUACUGUACAACAUCGUGUGCUUUCUCUCUAUCAUAUCUGUUUCCUUUUAGUCCGAG